GAGCACAGUAAGCUCAGUGAGCUAACAUCCUCUGGCUGUUGUCCAGCCUUUAUACCCCUUCAAGUCAUCCCAGACAAGACCCUCUAUGUUUACAGAUAACUGACCAAGUAAUAUAUGGUACUUCACCUUUGCCCUCUCAUCCUGUUAUUCCUACAUUCUUUAGGUUGUGCCAUUCUUUAGGUUUUGCUUACAUUUCCUGG